rnacentral:lncRNA from 1 species
UUGCGACUCGAGCAAGAGCGUCACUACCACGCAGAAGAGCACAAGCAGGGCAAGAAGGCGGGCUUUCGAUAGCGUCAGAAGAGAAUAAAGUAGUCGACCUAAAUUAUUUUCCGUAGCGUAAUUAUCCUACCCCAGAGGGUGGUGCAGUAGUCAGAAUAAAUUAAUGAAGGAGGACAAAUUAAAUUGUGUAAGGUCUCAAGGCAUAUGUUUUAAAGUCUUGUAAAACAUGAUAAAUCAACCAGCAACCGACACGAAAAGCUUAGGCGAGAAGGAACCCGAACGUUUGGAGUUGUGCGUAAAAUAUGGAAAUGUUUUACUAUCAACGUUUUAUUGAAGUCAUUAGCUGGCCACUUGCAAGGACAUGUUUUACACAGAACAUCAUCUCUUAUAGAAGACUUAACUCAAGUCUGAUCCCAACUUGACCACCACUGGUUAUGAAAACCUGCAUCCUCACAGUAAAUCGGUAAGUUCCUUAACAAAUACUAAAAUAUAUUCAGACCUUUGUUUUCUUCUGUUAUGGCAUUGUGAGUUAGCAUGACUGCUCAUAACCUUUUUGUUUCU